UAUCCCGGCACAAAAUCCCGGAAACAUCUCGUUCGUGAAAUUCAACGAAUCUCCGAAUGUAAUUUCGAAUCGUUGUGUCUUCGUUUUGGUGUACUUUCAAAUUCGUGGAAAGAGAGUGUGCCGUCUCGUGGAUUACACGUCGUAUCAUUUUAACGAGAAUUCGCGAAAACGGGCGUGCCUUGGACAAUCGGCGACGUCCCUGACGUGAAAAUACACAACGGCGAGAAGUGGUGGACAACGACAGCAAGACAUCGAUUGCGGUUAACAUUGCGACAAAAAGGACUAACAGUCCAUAGAGGCGAUAAAGCAGAAGAACAAAGAAAAGGGAAACGAGGAAAAUAGAACCGAACGGCAAUAGUAACAGCAGCAGUGGUAACAACGGUGACGGGAAGGGAAAAGUACAAGCUACAACGGUGGAGAGGAACGCGAUACAGCCGCGUGAUUUUAAACGCGAAUACAGACGUAACUGUCAACGGUCAGAUUUGAAAGUCUCGCAAAUUGCAGGGUCCUCGUAAGGCUUCCCUCGCUAGAAUCGUUGUAUUUUCGUCACGUCAACAUCGUUAACGUCGUGUCAUAUUGUCGCCGUCUUUGUCGUCGUCGUCGUCGUCGUCGUCUACGUUGUCGUGUUCGAUCCGGUGAAAAACCGGUCGUCUUAUAAUAUUAACCACGGUGUGAGAACGCGACUAAAUGACCAUGGACCUCCGCAUGUACAACAUCGAGACCGGCUACAGUAUAAAUAUCAAAAGGACGGACGGUCGUGUUCAUUCGGCAGUGGUUUCGGGUAUUAAUUGGGAACAACGCACCGUUACCGUAGAAUGGUUCGAGAGAGGAGAGACGAAAGGAAAAGAGGUCGAGAUAGAUGCGAUCAUCGCGUUGAAUCCCGACCUGACCAAUCAGAAAACCAUAGAAUCACCCGCUCAGAUGAACAAUCACACGUUGAUAUCUUCCAGAGCACGGCAUUCGAUCAAGCCAUCGAUUCCAGUGAAAGCGGGUUUCAACAGACAAUCGUCGCGACAAACGGGUCGGCCAACCAACAUAAUGCCGCCGGGCAGCACCGUGAACGGCCACGGUGACUCUGUGGCUGGAUUGACAGGUAGAAGGGAGGCGGAGAACGUGCCAACACCUACCACGGCCACCGCCGCUUCCUUCAACGUCACCCUCUCGGCCCUGGCCAAACAGAAGCAGCAGCAGCAGCAGCAGCAGCAGCAACAGCAGCAGCAGCAACAGCAACAGCAGCAGCAGCAACAGGCGGCACAACAGGUGGAGAACGGUCGUGGGAGGCGUACGAACGUGGUGAAGGAGGUGGAGAGGUUGAAGAAGAACCGGGAGGAAAGAAGGCAGAGGCAAGCCGAGUUGAAGGAAGAGAAGGAGGCUCUGAUGAAUUUAGAUCCUGGUAAUCCAAAUUGGGAGUUUCUCGCUAUGAUAAGGGAGUAUCAGAACAGCAUCGAGUUCAGGCCGCUACGCGAGUCGGACGUGGUGGAGGAUCAUCAAAUCACCGUGUGCGUGAGAAAGCGCCCCCUGAACAAGAAGGAGAUAGCGCGGAAAGAGGUGGACGUGAUCAGCGUGCCCAGCAAGGAUCAGAUGGUGGUACACGAGCCGAAGGCCAAAGUCGAUCUCACCAAAUAUUUGGAGAAUCAAAUUUUCCGUUUCGACUACGCGUUCGACGAGACGUGCAACAACGAGAUCGUGUACAAGUACACGGCGAAACCUCUGGUCCAGACCAUCUUCGAGGGCGGGAUGGCAACCUGCUUCGCGUACGGUCAAACGGGAAGCGGGAAAACCCAUACGAUGGGCGGUGAUUUCAACGGGAAAACUCAGGAUUGCAAGAAAGGUAUAUACGCGAUGGUUGCCAACGACGUGUUCAAAUGCCUCAAAUUGUCCAAAUACCGCUCCCUGAAUCUCAUCAUUUCCGCGAGUUUCUUCGAGAUUUAUUCGGGGAAAGUGUUCGAUUUAUUGGCGGACAAGGAAAAACUUCGCGUUUUGGAGGAUGGGAAACAACAGGUGCAGAUUGUCGGAUUGACGGAGAAGGUGGUGGAAUCGUGCGAGGAAGUAUUGAAAUUGAUACAACACGGGAACAGCGCGAGGACCAGCGGGCAGACAAGCGCCAAUUCCAACUCGUCCCGGUCGCACGCCGUGUUUCAAAUCAUAGCCCGUACGCCGGCCACCCAUAAAGUUCAUGGAAAAUUCUCGUUGAUCGAUCUUGCCGGAAACGAGAGGGGAGCCGACACGUCUUCCGCCAACAGACAAACUCGAAUGGAAGGUGCAGAGAUCAACAAGUCACUGUUGGCCUUGAAAGAAUGCAUUCGAGCCCUGGGCCGCAAAGGAACGCAUUUACCGUUCAGGGCUAGCAAAUUGACGCAAGUGUUAAGGGACAGCUUCAUCGGUGAAAAAUCGAAAACUUGCAUGAUCGCCAUGAUCAGCCCGGGAAUGAGUUCCUGCGAGCAUUCGUUGAACACACUGAGAUACGCGGAUCGAGUGAAGGAGUUGGCCGCCACUGAUCCGACGGAAGUGAAAAUUUCCUCGACGGACGACGAACGGGAAUUAAAAAUCGAGGCACAGUCGAACAACGUGCUGUCUGACAGCGACUUGGCUCAACUACGAUCCCUUAACGAGAGCGAAAUAUCCCAAGAUCUUUACACGUUUCACGAGGCUGUAUCCGCGUUGCAAAUGCUGGAGGAGGAAGUCUUGGAUACGCACAAAAUGGUUAUGGAUCAAACGACCAGAUUUCUCAAUGAUGCACACAGUGUGUUCAGUGUGACUCACGAAGUAGACUAUGACCAAGAAGAUUCACGCGGUAAAGAUAAGGCAAAGGCAAGUCGUCGGUUAGAAUCGAACUUAGAAGGAAGGACAACAACAACAACAACAACAACGACGACGACGAUGACAACGACAGCAACAACAUCAACAACUACGACGACGACGAUGACAACGAGUUCGAGCACGGUGGCUGUGUCGAUAAGUGACGAUAACGUGAAUAUCGAUAGGAAAAUAAAGAAUUCGUUAAAAUCACCAUGGCGGGACGAAAUGGAAUGUGAAAGUGACGUAAAUUUUUGCGAUAGAUAUCACGAAUCACCGAACGUUUUCGAAUUGGCUCGCGUCGAGGAAAUCGCGGCGGAUCGUAUUAUUCGUCCAAAGAACUUAUCGCGCAUCGAAAAUAUUUGGAGGACUAACGAUUUGUCUGGAAACGUGGGCGAGAGAGGAAACCCGUUUUGUCGGAUGGAUAACAGUGCGCAACGAUUUAAACGAGCCACAAGCAGUGGGAAAAAGUAUCAUUGGUCCGGAACUUUCAACGAUCGCGCGAAAAGAUUCUCGUCCGUCGAUAACGGAAUAUUCACUUAUGCGAAAACUCGUCGUUUCUCUAGCAACGAUCGCGAGAUCAUUGCCACGGAUUCGAAUUACGAUUACAAUUUGGAUGGGUUCGAUGACGAGAAGACCGUCAAGAAGAAAUUGUUUCGCUGCGAUAAAUUCAACUUUACCGACGAAAGAAGCAACGAGAGCGCGAGACAUUUGCUCGAUCGUCGAUCAUCGUUAGAUUUUUUCGAAGAAAGAUAUAACAUACCGCGUGGAGAAGAGGGAAAUCAUCGUCAUCGUGAUCAUGGUCAUCGUUCUCAUCGACGAAACGGAACGAUCGAACAACGAGGGAACGAGAAAAGUGAAGAGAUCUUCGCCUCGGCGAGCUCCUCCGGAUCCUUCGACCGCGUCGAUAACUACGAUCCCGAUCAAUCCACCAUUAUCGAUCGAUAUAAACUCACCCUCUCCACCGUGUACGUUCGUAAACAUCGUUGGACAUCGAUCAACGAUCAAUCCAAAAUCAUAGUUUGCAAUUUUGUGUCAUUUUUCAAAGAUAUUAUUCUUUUUACUUUUUUACCCAGCCUGUACAUAGCAAUUUUUAUUUACGCGAACAGAACGGAGGAGGGAUAAGUUUUCGAUAACGCGUUUUUCCAACAGGGAUCAAUCUUUUUCGCACUAUACAUUCCUCCUUUUCUUUUUUUUUUUUUUUUUUUUUUUUUUUUUUUUUNUUUUUUUUUUUUUUUUUUUUAUUAUUCCUUUUCUCAUCGUUUCCUUUUUACAUUAUAUUUUUUUUUCCCUUCUCCUCUUUGCCCUUUCUAUUGAUAUCUUUCUAUCGAUAAUAUAAUAAUUUUUAUAUUUUGACAUCAAAUCUUUAGCGUUACAAAAAUAAAAUAGACAAAGCGAGUAACACAUCGCACAACGUUUUGCGGAUUUCUAUUGGUAUACGAUUUUUUUUUUUUUUUAUUUUUAAUUUCGACGAUAAUUAUAAAUGUAACAAAACUAACCGAUAUAUACACGCGAUAAUUGAAUAAUUUUAUUUCAAAAUUUAUUUAACGAAUGAAAAUUUACGAAUAUAUGUACUAUUUUUUUAUUAUUAUUAUUAUUAUUAUUAUUAUUAUUAUUAUUAUUAUCAUUAUAUGUAUAUAUUUUUUUUCCAUUAAUCGAAACAGUGUAUAAACAGUGAUUUAAUUCGACGAAUAUUGAAUCAACAGAAGAUAAAUCAGAUUGUUUUUUACGAUCACGGCCAUUCGUUAUUAUCGUAUAUUCGAAUAGGCAAUAUAACAUUUCGUUUUUUAUUUUCUCGAGAACGAAAAUAUAUAUGUAUAUAGAAACAUAUAUAGGAAAAAAGUAGAUAGAAAAAAAAAAAAAGAAACGAGGCUGUCGCGUUGUUCGCGUUUGCCCCGCGAAAAUGAUUGUUUUCUAGCUAUCGGUAAAAGGAGCAAAGGCUCGUACAACAGCAGUGGUAACGACAACACCAUCAACCACAACAACAACAACAACGACAACAACAACAACAACAACAACAACAUUGAUUGAUAACAUUUGAACGUAACGUCACAAACCGUUGCAGAUUUGAGACGGAAAAGAACAAAGUUUGAGUCGCCCAACCUGAGGAAGUUCUUGUUGCAUAGACGUCUGAUAGAGAGAUUACAAUUUUCCGAUGAAUAUGCCCAAAAGUGGGAACAGCUAUUGGUGCAGCAGCGCGAUAUCUUUAACG